rfam:Gossypium arboreum cultivar AKA8401 contig_142700_1, whole genome shotgun sequence.
AGGCGACUGUUUACCAAAAACACAGGUCUCGGCAAAGUCGUAAGACCAUGUAUGGGGGCUGACGCCUGCCUAAUGCCGGAAGGGCAAGGAAGUUGGUGACCUAAUGGUAGGGGAGCCGGCGACCGAAGCCCCGGUGAACGGCGGCUGUAACUAUAACGGUCAUAAGGUAGAGAAAUUCCUUGUCAGGGAAAUUCUGACUCGCACGAAAGGCGUAAUGAUUU